rnacentral:rRNA from 1 species
CAGAUUGAACGCUGGCGGCAGGCCUAACACAUGCAAGUCGAGCGGUAACAGAGAGUAGCUUGCUACUCUGCUGACGAGCGGCGGACGGGUGAGUAAUGCUUGGGAAUGUACCUUAUGGUGGGGGACAACAGUUGGAAACGACUGCUAAUACCGCAUAAUGUCUUCGGACCAAAGCGGGGGACCUUCGGGCCUCGCGCCAUAAGAUCAGCCCAAGUGGGAUUAGCUAGUUGGUGAGGUAAUGGCUCACCAAGGCGACGAUCCCUAGCUGGUUUGAGAGGAUGAUCAGCCACACUGGGACUGAGACACGGCCCAGACCCCUACGGGAGGCAGCAGUGGGGAAUAUUGCACAAUGGGCGCAAGCCUGAUGCAGCCAUGCCGCGUGUGUGAAGAAGGCCUUCGGGUUGUAAAGCACUUUCAGUAAGGAGGAAAGGUUGGAUGUUAAUAGCAUUCAGCUGUGACGUUACUACAGAAGAAGC